rnacentral:rRNA from 1 species
GGAGCCGUAGCGAAAGCGAGUUUUAACUGAGCGUUCAGUUACUUGACGUAGACCCGAAACCGGGCGACCUACCCAUGAGCAGGAUGACGCGAAAGUAAAAUUUCGUGGAGGUCCGAACCCACGAGCGUUGAAAAGCUCGGGGAUGACUUGUGGGUAGCGGUGAAAUUCCAAUCGAGCCCGGAGAUAGCUGGUUCUCCCCGAAAUAGCUUUAGGGC